rnacentral:lncRNA from 1 species
UUUGACGUAGGUCAUUGAUGAUUUAAUGUGUUUUGUUGUUACAAUGUAUGUCUCUGAUGCUUAGAACGCGAGUCUUUUAUAAUUAGAUCUCUUUGUGCCCUUGCUCUUUUGGUUUUGGUUGACACCAAUUUGGAUGUAUGAUCCAUUAUUUGCAAUAUUCGUGAUUUCAGAGCAAUGGUACCUAUAUUUUAAACAAUCAUCAUGUCAAAAACCACACAUGUUGUGUCAUAUACAUAAAUUUUACCUAGUAAAGCCAAAUGAUCCUACAAAACAAGUGCAUAUGGAGAGUUGCUUGAUACACAAGAAUAGUAAUUUGUAUAUCAAUAAAUAUGGAUUAUGCUGUAUGAAUCAUUGUGGAGAUCAUGUAUUAUGGUAACACACUAAAUUACUUGUAUUGAAUAAAGGUUUGUUAUGCAGGGGAAGAAUAGGAAAGGCCACAUGUGGUUGUGAAUUGGUUUAUAUCAAUUAUCAUGGGAGCACGGGACCAAUUUAAUGAGUUACCAACCAAUAUCCUUAACAUUAAUACAUAACGAUCAAUAAGAUCAUUCACAUUGUUGUAAUAGUUGGAAGUAGGUAAAGAAACAUUAAUGAUACUGUCACGCAAAUAGCAACAUUUAUUCUUCUUCCUUUUGUGAAGUAGUGCGUGGCCUCUUCUUUAUGGAGGAAGUGAGAUAUUUUAUUUGCAAUAUUGAGAGAAGAAUUAUAUAGUGGGGGCGUUAGUCAACUUUCUAAUGGAAGAGAAAAAUAUUUUAUUAUUUUAAUUUUUAUUUAUUUAAUUAAUUUAAUUAAUUACUAUUUUUGGAUUGGUGGAUAAAAAAGAGUGUGAUAAUGCAUAUGAGUUUUUUAUUAAAUUCGAAUUGACGGUCUAAAUUAAAUAAAAAAAACACAUUUAAAUUUAAAAUGUCUACAAUGUCCUUUUUAGAUGAUUUAAUUGAUUUAAAACAAUUUAAAUCAAUUGAAUCAAAUAAAAUUCACAACUUCUAAAUUGAAUAUGAUAAAAAUAAAAUAAAGAUAUGAAAAAUUCAAUUUAAUUAUCCCGACUAAUUUGACAAAAGAAUAAAAAUAAAAUGACUAAAAAAUGAAUAAAAGUUGGGCGCAAAUAUGCUCAAAAAAUUAAAUCGAAUGCACUAAAAUGAUCAGCGCGAAAUAAACCUCUUAGAAAAAUACAGUUUUUGAUCAGAUUCUGAAAUAAAUUUUGAUCGGUUAAACAGACAUAUGGUGAUCAAAAUGCGACUGAAAUAGUAGUCGAAAAAUAUAACGAGCACACCAGGUUAAACUACGUGAACUGUAGAUUGAUAAUAAUGACGUUUGCAAGCUCGAUUUUGAAACUUUUUACCCGUUGAUUUUACAUGUAUUUGAGAAACGAUUCAAUCGGUCUGUAUGUAUAUUCGAGAAUUUAUUCUAGUCAACAUUCUAUGUAUUAUUCAUGAUGAAAUGCAUUUGAAUCCUAGUGUUGUACCCCAAAAUUUUCCCUCCCCUUUUCAUCUUUUCACUCAACCCCUAACUUGAGUUUCAUCUGCCCACACUCACAUUUCAUUCAUGUAGACACUUGUUAAUCUAUAGAUUCAAAGCUCAGUGGUUUACAAGGUUAGGGUUUGUGCAUGGGUCAAAGUCCUAGAAUAUGAUUUGGCUAUUCAUUUGGCCAUAUUGGGUUCGAAACCCUGAUUUGCUUGAUCUUCAAGAUAUGGAUUUAAGGAGACCCCAUCAUUGCAUUCUUCUGGGGAGCAAAACCCUAAUCCUUGAUGGUGUAUUUAUGGAACUUUUUGGAUACUCUUUGGACCUUAUCUUAGCCAUCUAAACCCUAGUGGGGAGCUCAAACAUUGGGACUUGCUUGUGGAACAUCGUACUUGAUUCAGAGGCCUUGAUUAAGGGACAUGUCUCAUGAAACCCUAACCAGGGAAGUUUGGUGCUAAUAUGCCUUGUGGCUUGACUUGUCACCUUAUACCUAUUGGAAACUCGGAUCCAUUCGGGAGAAGAUCUUCCACUUGUUUGGGAGUUCAUAUGGUCCAAGGUUUUAUUCAGACAACCAUAUAUUUGGUGAUUUCAAGGUUCAUAAGUCUUUAAUUCAUGCUUGCACCAGUGCAUUGGUCUUUUGGUCCCUAAUUUGUCAUUUGACCCAUUGCGAUUCAAUCCAUCAUGAGACAUCAUUGUGGGUCUCUUUAUGCAUUUGAUCAAGCUCAUUCAUAUGGCUUUGAACAUGUAUUAUGGUUUCAGGUCAUUAUUCAUCACUUCCUUGCUUUACUCAAGUCCAUUUUACACAACAAAGUCCUAAUUCCUAAUCCACGAUUGACUUUGGUCAACUGUUGACUUUUUGGUCAACAAGUUGACCCAAGUCAACCAUCUUUCCUAAGCCUUUUUUAUCCAUUCACUAGGCCAUUUUGUUCAUGUCAUUUUUUUUAACAAAUCAAUCCAUGUCGUUUUUGUUACUAACUUUUAAUCCAAAUGAACAUGACUUGUGUUUGUUUCACAUUUCUAAUUGUAACCCAUAACAUAGUCCAUAACUAUCCAAUAGCUUUCAUUCAAAUUAAACAUGCCUUUCAUGCACUUUCCAAAUAACAUUCAUGUACAUUCAAAACUUUCGACAUUCAAUCAUAUUUCUAUCAGUUCAAUGCAUAAUCCGUUCAAAUUCCAAUUUACACUUCCAAUUCAAACCAUUACAUUAACUCAUUCAUUCAAUUCACUUUCCAACGUCCAAUCCAUUUACAUUCAAACUUGUCUAAACAUUUGAAUCUAAUCAUUUUCAAGUUUAUACUUAAAACAUUCCAUUUAUAAUGCAUUCAUUAAAUCUUAAUAGCAUUUUUUUUUCCAUAAACCAUGUAAUUCCAUAUUCAAAUUCUCAUACAUAAUUCAAAUUUCUCCAUCAAUGUAAAUUCAAUAACUUUUAAUACAAUUUAAUUCCAAAUGCUAUUCAAUACACAAAGUUAUACUUUUUACCCUAUUCAAUACACAUUCAAUUUCAAAUUAACUUCCCAAAUCUCAGGCUAUAUUCAAGGUUUCAGGAAAGUAGAAGCUCCCUGCAGUUCAAUUGUCAUUUGAUGUACAUCAUUAACAUUCCAAGUUGUUUAAUUGAGAUAUUCCAAGAAGCUCCCAGCAUGAGUUAUAACAGAAAAUUCACAACUAACAGUUUCUCCUUAACUAACCUAACAGAACAGAUAGACUUAAUUGUCUAACUACAUGUUCAUAACAGAAAAUGAAACUCAACCUUCAAACUGAAACCUAACAGAAAAAACUGAAAAUAGAACUUAACACAUAACAAUCUCUAACCUUCUAACUGUUUCCCAACUAACAAACUUUUUAACCUAACUCAUUCUAACAUUGUAAUCGAACCUCUAACUGAUUUAAACUAACAAGAUUUAACAGAAUUAAUCUCUGUUAAAUCCAGCUCCUAUAUAAGCUAAACGAUCAGUUUUUAAUCACCAUUUUUUUGCAGAAAUCACAGAAGCUCUCUCACUCUCGCACACCUUUCAUCAAUUUCAAACAAGAACACGCACAAUCGAAAACUCAGAAGCACGAUACAACAGAAAAGAGGGAGAAGAAGAAGCAGAAAAAACGUACAAUCGAAAACUCAGAAGAGAAAGAGAAUUACCUGCGAACGUCACUGACGACACCGGAGCCACCGCAUCGGAGUCAAAUCCGUUUAGCUUUCGUCUGCUUUCUUUCUGUCGACUAAUGAUUCUUCCGCGUUGCAAUACCAGAAUGCGUCACCAAUCGCAAAACAAUGCAUAAACUCAAAGUGCAGCGUCACCAUUUCAAUGUUGUGCAUACGAUCUCGACGAGUUGGAGAAGAAGAAGGAAGGAUCGAAACUGAGGAGGGAUAAGAGUUGUUAUCCGUUCAUAACUCCGUUUCAGUGAGUUUCUUCUGCCGGAUCGAGAUUCUUGAACGCGACGCAGACGUCCAUGACCCUUACAAGUACGAUUGAUGUCGAUUCGAGUUGAUUCGAAGAAGACAAAUCCGACUUCGUCGAUUGGAGAAUUCGAUACUUUUGUUUUUCUCCGUGGAUUUUGCGCUUGAGUGUUCGUCGGAGGGAGUGGAGGAAACGCGUGAAAACGGCCGAGGGAUUCUACAUGUUUGCUAGGUUGGAGGUUUAAGUGUAUACACAUGGGUCGGGUGUACCAGUUGGUUAAUUAGUUAACUAGAAUAAUAGAAUUUUUAGAAUUUAGUUAAUUAGGAUUAACUUAAUUAGGUUAAUUAGAAAUAAUUAGAAUUAGAUAUUUUUCUAGAAUUUAAG